UUGGCUGAUUCUUCAUCGGUCCAGCUUUUGUCUCUGAGUUCUAUCUGCUUCCCUGGCUUUCUCUCUCUUCCUACUUUCUUGUUCCUCCUCCUUCAUACUCCUUCAAAACGAUAGUCAACUCAGAACCACCUGGCAGCCACAAUCCUAGAUCUCUCUAUCUUCUCGCCCUCGACACCGUCAGGGCCGGGCGAUCCAUCGUCGUUACGGGUCGGCUUUGUUUAUUUUUGCACGUCUAUGGUUUUCCGGUGAUCCUGACGUCAAUCUCGCCCUCUUAACCCUCGCCGCCGCGCGUUCCUUCCUCGUCAAGCAGCAUAUUUAUCUGAAAUCGAAAUCUGAAAACGUUUUCAGCAACCAAAUGGCCCUGAGCCUCGUCCAAUAUAUUCCUGAGAAUGAGACAGGCUGAGAGCGCUUGUUUCUUUGAAGCGAGCGAGAUCUAGAGCCAGAGCAAAGGGAAGAGAUCGUUGGCUUCGCUGCCGAUCGGGGAAGGGCAACCCCGGGUCAGAGGCCGCGGUGCCUCUCCGAGAGCAAAGCCGACUCUGCUUCAGCCUUCAGCCCUCGAUUUUCGUAGCAAGACUCUCUCUCUCUGUUCCAAUGCUUGGCAAUCUAGGGAAGCACAUGUACCAUCAGCACUUCUGAUGGCUGCUUCUUCGAAUAUGGAAAGGAAUUACCAUGUGUUCCUCAGUUUCAAAGCGACAGAUGUCCGCCGAGGCUUCCUCGGUCAUCUCUACGCGGCUCUGGACCAGAGAGGAAUAUACACUUUUGUGGAUAGUGAGGAGCUUAGGAAAGGAGAGGAAAUAUCACUGAUGCUCAUGAGGGCAAUCGAGGAAUCACGCAUCGCGAUCAUCAUUUUCUCUGAGGACUAUGCCUCCUCGCCGUGGUGUUUGGAAGAGGCUGUGAAAAUCAUGGAGUGCAGGGAGCGAAUGGGCCUGAUGGUGGUCCCAUUUUUUUACAAAGUGGAACCAAGAGAAGUAAGAGGAGGGAGAGAGAGUUAUGGGAGAGCUAUGGCUAAGCAUGAGUCCAAGUUUGGUAAGGAUUCAGAGAAAGUGAAGAGAUGGAAGAAGGCUCUCUUUGAAGCCGGUAGCUUGUUUGGGUGGGAGUUGAAUGCCAGAAAUGAAGCGGAGCUCAUACAAUGCAUAGUAAAGGAAUUAUCAAUUCAUCUCAACCGGACGCCUUUACAUGUCGCUAAUUAUCCAGUCAGAAUAGAUUCCCAAGUUCGACAAAUUAUAUCGUCGUCAAAGAAAGAGUCAGAUAAUGAUGAUGUUCUCAUGAUAGGUUUAUGGGGGCCUGGAGGCAUAGGGAAGACAACAAUUGCGAAGGCCUUAUAUAAUGCUAUGGAGAGACAAUUUCAGGGUUGUAGUUUUUUGGAGCAAGUUAGAGAAAAAUCAAACCAAAGCGAUGGCCUUGUUACUUUACAAAAGGAUCUUCUAUUUGAGAUCAUGGUUCAUCCUUUAACGAUCUGCAGUGUCGCUGGAGGAAUUAGUUUGAUACAAGAAAGACUAUGUUGCAAGAAGGUUCUCCUGGUUCUCGAUGAUGUUGACCAUAUGAAUCAACUGAAUGCAUUAGCUGGAAAAGGCAAUUGGUUUGGAAAAGGAAGUAGAAUCAUUGUUACAUCAAGAGAUAAACAAUUGCUGACUUCUCAUGGCAUAAAUUGUGUGUAUGAAAUUCAAACUUUAGGAUGCCAUGAAGCACAAUAUCUCUUUAGUCUGUAUGCUUUCCCAAAUAGCAAGAGUGUUGAAAUAAGAAGGGAUCUCAUAGAUAAAGCACUGCAUUAUGCCGACGGACUUCCAUUAGCCCUCGAAGUGUUGGGCUCCUUCUUACGUGGAAGAAAGGAAUCUGCAUGGGAAAGUACGUUGCAUAAACUCUCCAAAAUUCCUGAACCAACUAUCAAUCGAGUUCUCAAGAUAAGCUUCGAUGGAUUGGAGAACAAUGAGAGGGAGAUUUUCCUCGAUAUUGCUUGUGUCUUUAAGGGGAAAAAUAUAGAGUACAUCAAGGAAGUUCUUGACAGCUGUGGUUUUCACACAGCCAUAGGAAUAGAUAUUCUCAUUGAAAGGUCCUUGAUAAAAAACCAGCAUGAGACCUUGCAAAUGCAUGAUUUGAUUCAGUCGAUGGGUCAAGAUAUUGUUAAUGAAGCAUGUCGUGAUGAUCCUAGGAAACGCAGCAGAUUAUGGCUUUUGGAAGAUGUUGAGGACAUUUUUUGUUGCAACACGGGGGUGGAUGCAGUAGAGGCCAUAGUAUUGAACUUGCCCCCACCAGAAGCAAUAAUCAUCAGUCCUAAUACUUUCACGAAUAUGAAAAAGUUGAGAAUACUCAUUUUGCUCGAAGUGCAUAUCUCUUCACAAGCUCAAGUACGUCUCCCUAACAAGCUAAGAUGGCUUGAAUGGCCCAAUGCCCCAAAUCUAGAAUUUGGCUCUGGUCUAAAUAAACUCGUGAGACUCGAUGUCCCAAAAAGUCAUAUCAAGCAAUUGGGGGGCAACUCUCAAAAUUUUAGAAAGCUGAAGUCCAUCAAUUUCAGUGAAUGCAAGUCCCUGGUUAGUAUUCACGACCUAUCAUCGGCUCCAAAUAUGGAGAAAUUGAUUCUUAAUGGGUGUGAAGGCUUGGUGGAGGUUCACCCAUCCGUUGGAGAUCUUGUCAAGUUGGAAGUUUUGUCGCUAAGAGGGUGCUUUAAUCUUAGAAAGUUUCCUAACACGCUGAAGACUAAAUCUCUUCAAACCCUUGAGCUCUGUGAUUGCUCUAAACUUGAGAAGUUCCCAAAUAUAGACGGAAAGAUGGAACAUUUGGAAGUACUUCCUCUAUAUGGUACAGCUAUUACAGAACUCCCUACAUCAAUUGAAAAUCUUGUCUCUGUGAAGCGGAUAAAUUUAUCAUUUUGCGAAAACCUCAUGAGGCUUCCGUCGCAAAUUUAUAAGUUGAAAAAUCUCGAGGGCUUUUAUCUUGAGGGCUGCUCAAAUUUAAUCACGUUUCCAAAAAACAUGGAGGAUUCAAUUGAUCCUGAUGGCUGUCUGGGAUUCCGAAAACUAGUGUCCCUGAAACUUGAGCGGUGCAAUCUAUCAGAAGUAGAGUUCCUUGAGAGUUUUUCCAGUUUUCCAAAAUUGAAGUAUCUACAACUUCAAUAUAACAAGUUUGCUGCUUUGCCAACAUGCAUCAACAAGUACUAUCGUUUGGAAUGCUUGUAUGUUGAUGGAUGCGAGCUACUACAAGAGAUUCCUCAGCUUCCACCAAAUAUUGAGCUACUAUCAGCAGAUGGUUGCAAAUCUCUGCAAAAACUCCCAGAUUUGUGGGGUCAGCUCUCCCACACCUUGUCUGUUAGCUUGGCUUCAUGUUGUGAAUUAUUCCGCAAAGGGGUCAAUAUGGAUGAUGUGGCUAAUGUGUCAUUACUCGAGAAACUGCCAAAGAUGGAAGAUAAAGUCGACAUUGACUUAAUUGGAAGAGAGAUGCCUAAAUGGAUUCUCCCUUGUGAAGAGGAUUCCAUAUCUUUCAUGGUUCCCUGGGACUUGUAUGACAAGGUCAAAGGACUAGCAUUCUGUGUUGUUCUCAGCCCGGAGGAAGGAAAAGUGGUCCGUUAUUCAUGUAAAUACACGAUAGUUGUUAAUGGCCAAUGGGUGCAAAGGGGCACGAGAUAUUUUCAUGCGAUAGAAUCUGACCAUGUGUGGCUUAGUUGUCGGUUAAUGAGUUUUAAGGAUGGACUACCAAAGGAUUGGAGCCAUUUCCAAGUUUGCCUCAUAGCAGAGAAAGGAAGCAUAAAGAAGCGUGGAUUCCGUCUAAUAUGCGAGCAAAAGGAGGAUGAUCUGAGGGUGGUGUUCCCAGCACCAUCAGUGGAUAUAAACAAAGUGAAGUGUUUUGGGAAGACUCGGAAGAAGAUAAUUCAAUAGACACCGAGGAAGAAGAUACUCCAAUUGAAACAGAUGAAGAGGAAAGCAUAUCACCAGAUAAUUCAAUAGACACCGAGGAAGAAGAUACUCCAAUUGAAACAGAUGCAGAGGAAAGCUUAUCACCUUUAACAAAGAAGAUAAGACGGUCUUAACUACGGCGAAACUGUGGGUUCCAAUGUCUUUGCUUUUCCCUUUUUUGGGCCUCCACUAGAGAUUUGCAAGUGUCUGCUCCUUCAAUUAGAAUUCAAGAUCAUUAUAAAACAGAGGUUUCGCACCAUGCUACUAACAUGAUUGGGGAACAAUUCUUUUUUUGUUCUUUCUUUAUGAUUUGUAAUGCAGAGUGCAUUAACCCAAAAAUUAAGAGGAUUCUUGUUGAAA